GGUAGCGUGGCCGAGUGGUUUAAGGCGCUUGGUUUAGGCACCAGUCUCUGCGGAGGCGUGGGUUCGAAUCCCACCGCUGCCA
rnacentral:tRNA from 1 species